rnacentral:rRNA from 1 species
AACAGGGAUUGCCCUAGUAACGGCGAGUGAAGCGGCAACAGCUCAAAUUUGAAAUCUGGCUUCGGCCCGAGUUGUAAUUUGCAGAGGAUGUUUCUGGCGCGGUGCCUUCCGAGUUCCCUGGAACGGGACGCCAUAGAGGGUGAGAGCCCCGUAUGGUUGGCCACCAAGCCUGUGUGAAACUCCUUCAACGAGUCGAGUAGUUUGGGAAUGCUGCUCAAAAUGGGAGGUAAAUCUCUUCUAAAGCUAAAUAUUGGCCAGAGACCGAUAGCGCACAAGUAGAGUGAUCGAAAGAUGAAAAGCACCUUGAAAAGGGGGUUAAACAGUACGUGAAAUUGUUGAAAGGGAAGCGUUCAUGACCAGACUUGUGCUAAGUAGCUCAUCCGGGGUUCUCCCCGGUGCAUUCUACUUAGUUCAGGCCAGCAUCGAUUUUUGCUGGGGGAUAAGAACGAUAGGAACGUGGCCCUCCUUCGGGUGGGUGUUAUAGCCUAUCGUACGAUACCCUAGCGGAGAUCGAGGUUCGCGCUUCUGCAAGGAUGCUGGCGUAAUGGUCAUCAACGACCCGUCUUGAAACACGGACCAAGGAGUCGUCCAUUAGAGCGAGCGUUUGGGUGUAAAACCCGCACGCGUAAUGAAAGUGAAAUUAGGUGAGAGCUUCGGCGCAUCAUCGACCGAUCCUGAUGUUCUCGGAUGGAUUUGAGUAAGAGUUUUAACGGACGGACCCGAAAGACAGUGAACUAUGCUUGUAUAGGGUGAAGCCAGAGGAAACUCUGGUGGAGGCUCGCAGCGGUUCUGACGUGCAAAUCGAUCGUCAAAUAUGAGC